GUUUAAUCUGUGAAAAAACACACAGUAUAAAAGCUUUAGGUGUUAGUGGUCAAAUUUUAUUGCCUCCAGAAAAAGUGCUGUUUCCAGUCAUUAUGAUAAGCUAAGCUAAUUGGCUGCUGGCUCCAGUGCCAUGUUUAACAAACAAGACUUAAGAGUGGCAUCCAUUAAUUAAUGAAGUUCCACAUUUAUGAACAGCAGCAGAUUCACAAGGAGGUAAUUGAGGAUGAUGACAGGUAUCCACACGGGGUGCUGUCACACCAGAGACUAAGGUUCACAUCCUGUCUAUGGUCAAAAAAAGCACUUUGGUUAAGUUUAUGGAAAGAUCAUAGUUUUGUUUGAAUGUAAAUUAAACCAGACCAUGAUCUUUUCAUAACCUUAACCAAGUGCAAUGAGUGACUAAACAUAACCAUAAAAAGGUUAAUGAUGUUGUAGCCAUAACAAACUGAUGCUGUACUACAAGAUCAGAUAUUUUGGUGGAAAACAAAUCCACUGUUAGUGAUCAUGUAACUGAUAUGUUCAGUAUCAAAAUAUUUGCGACUUGCCAAAUACAGAAAUUACCAACAGAUCCUCAUUAUGUUAAUUGAAAAACGUAAUCUGGUCACAAUUAUGUUUCCUAUAAAACACAUUUGCUGUUGCAGUUUAGCUGCAUAUAAACUUAAUUUCUAGGAGGCAGGUUUGGUUUAUAAAAGAAACUUCAGGAAAAUGCUUUAAUUUUUAAAUGAAUUAAAUCUGUCUACUAUCUCACAUCCUUCAACAGGAAAAUACAGUCACAUAUUACAGUGACCAGAGCACUUUCUCCAGAUGCUUUCAGUUGAAGGAAAGUGUUUUCAGUAACUAUGGCAGGAUAAACAAACACCUCCCUGCUUUAUUAAAGCUGUUUUGAACAAAAAAGACUUAUUCAGAUUGUGUGUGGGUCUCAUAUGGUUUGAUGCUCAGUGUGUGGUAGUAGUUCAGCAAAAUGACAUAUUAUUCUAUAUUAAAUUUAGCAAGUUACCCACACAGGAACUCUGCAAGAUGUGAGAAAGAUGUAAUCUCAAACUGACUUCUUCUCACAGCUGUGUGAAACUCAGUGAAGAAACACACCCUGAUUAUUUUGCUUUGCUUUGCUGUUUGUGUCGAAACCACAGCAGUGGUGUUUCAACGUUUUAGUGUUUUAGUUUAUUGUAAAGGCAUGAGGCGUGAGAGUGGAAUUCUCCUCAAAUUUAGGCAAGUAGUUAAGUAGUUAAGUAGUUCCCAAAAUGUCAGACUGUUCCUUUAAGAAAUCUGUGCACAUUAUCGAUGAUAACAUUCUUGCUCUUUUCUCACAGUCAGGUUACAGAUGUUCUGCGGUUCUCCCUUGUGUUAUCUGAGAGCUUACUUUCCUGUCAGAUUAGCAUUUCAGCUUCUUUUAAACACACCACAGUUUUCUCUGUUUUUCUACAAGCAAAAAAAAUCCUAUUCUCUUAUUCAUUAUGUCAAGUAUGAUCGAAAGGCGACCACAGAAAUAGUCAGCAACCUCACAGGGCCUAGUCAAGAAAUAGUUGCAGCACGCAACUCCCUGUAAAACCACAACUUGUUUGUGUUGCAUCACUGAUGUGUGCGACUCAGAAGAGCCUCCCCAGUGAACAUUGUCUCGACCCUCAGACAGUGGAAGUGAGUAGGAGUGGAGUCACUGGCUGAAGGCACAGACAAAGUGCUGGAUCACUGUACUGAAACAUUUCCUCAUCUUUGAGGCACUUUCAGUAACCAGACCCCUUUAACAAUGCGUCCAAUUGUGUUAUUAACAAAUGAUCCGACGAUAAAGUCUUUUAUGCGGUGAAUGUCAGUAACAAAAGAGCAGGCCACCCUCAGAUUAGUGGUAAUGUGGUGGAUAAGGACACUCCAGAUCCCAGAAGUGUGGAACAAUUGGUUGUUGUUCUCAUGGAGUUAAUGUUACAGCUUGUCUUGCCUUGACUUUCUGUAAUGUGGGGUGAGAAAGAGGUAUCUGAAGAGAGAUGGGAACACCUGGCUGAUCGAGGUCAGAGGAGCCAGAUGACACCUGUGGAAUUCAGCCCCCAAACACCUGGAUAGAGUCUGGACUCGUGUGGUGACUUUAAUUGGCUGUAGGAGGUUGCGGUUCGAGACGUAAGGACGCCCGACAUGACUGCUAUGGAAAUAGCACGUUAUGAGUGAAGGAAAGCCUUACUCAUACACUGCGCACAGAGAGGUCUCCAUAGCUGUGUCAUCAACGUGCAAGACUCUCAGCUGAGAGAAUGGGCUCUCCACAGCCAGUAAAUGACCCCACCCAGCUGGUCUCUGCUGUCCUCAUCCAAAAUCCUUCCCUCUCCACCUCCCACUAACAUCAUCAGCAUGGACUGCACCACAACUGAGAGACAUGGAAGCAAUUAUAGCAGCAGGCACGGGAACAUAAAGUAUAGGCAGGGUGAAGUCAAAUCUGAGCAACCUAAGAAAAGGCUCUGUUUAAGUCUGCGAGGGCACUGAUCAUUGAUUCAGGAGGCUGUCAGGAUGGGUGGUGUUACAAUAAAGAAAAACUGGAGGUGGUGGUGAGAACAAUAGUAUCAAAUUUUCUGUGCCUCUUUGUAAAGUCCUAUAAAAAUAACCCUACUGAUGUAAUUAGGGUUAUCUCAACUUUGGGCUAGGAGCCAUCAAAUUUUCAACAGAACACAGCCGUUACAAACUGGGGGCGGGAGUUUGAAAGACGUGGGCGGUACCAGGCAUGGAGGGUGUAACGAAAGAUACUGUCAAAUUAUGGUAAAUAGAGGAUCCAGAGUUUAGGAGCUUGACUCAGCUCACUGACUAAAUGUCAGGAUAUGUCAGUUUCUGCAGAAUUGAUUGACCAUUUUUUAUUUAAAUAUGUUUCUUCCAAGUCCCUCAAUUGUGGCAGGAAUGGAAGUGCAGCAUAUGAGAUAUUGUCACAUUGAUGGAUAGCAUCAGAAUUUUCAAGUCUGUCUCAAAACUCAGGUACCCUAUGUACUGUACAUUAAAACAAUUUUUUACUUGCCGUAACCAUUCCUCCUGCUCUGGCCAUUAAAAGAUGAACUUCCACUGUAAAUGAUGGGGGACAAAAUCCACAGUCCUUGUUCCAUGCAAAAAUAUAUUCCGAAUUAUAUCUCAAGUUAACAUGAGGCUUCAGUAGUCCGAGUUAGACAAUUCAAGUAAGUAUCUUCUAUAGUUAUGUUACUAUCUCACCACCAUGGCUCAACAAGGAAACACUUUGGAAGACACCAAAUUCAAUUGAUUAACUUAACCUGCUGAAGCUUUUUAUUAAUUUAAGAUAAAAUUUUAGUAUAUACCAUAUUUUUUCACAGAAUGAGGACUGUGGAUUUUGUCUCCCAUCUUUUCCACUGGCAGUGUGUAAGGAAGGGAUCUUUUAAUGGCUAGCAUGGAUGAGAGGACGGAUUACAGUGCAGCAAACUAACCAGUUUCAGUGUCUAUAUGGGCAUGUGAGUAUUGUUUUAAGACAGUGACCCUAUUCUGCAAACCAUUUAUACAUUUCCAUUUUUUUUCCAAAGCAUGCCAUUAAUUUUCAGACUGACUUCAGUUCAGUCUAAUAUAGUAUGUACUUUAUAUCAGCCAAAAGCAGUUAAAUGUUACUGAAUACCCAUCCCAGGACUGUUUGUGGGUCUUCAUACUGAAAUGGCUUGACCUGAAACUGCCUAUAAUGAAAGCAUAUUAAUGUAGGAACUUGUGGUAUGCUUUGGAAAUGGUCAACAGUAAUGUAAAGUAUAUGCAAUUUGUAGUUAAUGGGCAAAAAAAUGCAAGGCCAAUGAUGUGGUCCAUGAAAUCACUUUUUGUUUCUGGAUGCACACCAGCGGCUUUGAUUCUCACAAGAUCCAUGUAAUUAUUUCUGAAUCCAGAUGAUAAUUUUUCUCACCACUUACUUCUCACAGACUCACAGACCAUUUUCUGUGAUCCUCCCAAAAUACCAGCACUAUAUUUUUUUUCUUCUGGCCUUCCACCCAAGCAGGGGAGGUCACUACCGUUCACAUCACUUGGGGUAUUACAAGACAACAAGGUAUUUCUUCCAAGAGUAACCUAACUCCUCAGUGGCUGUGGUUCGGCCAGAUCCUGAUGAGCUGAGGUGGGUCUGUCCAAAAGAGCUGGACGCGCCCAUGACAGCAGCUCCUCAGGGAGUCCACCCCUCCUUGUUACUCAUGGAAACCAACAUGUUUGCUGGGAGACUCAAAUAUUCCAGGCUGUCCAUGUCCCCCAGUUGCAGGGGUGGGACAGCAGGGGGACAGCUGUGGAUUUAUGCAUUAUAUAUACUGUAUGUGCAUUAUGUGUGUGACUCAAAGUGAAUGAGACAGGCUGAGGGAUGGGGGCUGUGUUGUAAAAGGGAAAUUUCUGCCUUAACAGCUCCCGUACCUAGGCAGAACGCACGCAGAGGUCUGCGCCAAAUCGUUAAUAGAAACCAGACAUAAAGGCGUAUGAGGAGUGAGGCUUUCACUGCACAGCUCCAGAGGGAACCACUGGAGGAGUGACGGUGGAGAGGAGGAGGAGGAGGUGGGAAGUAGGCAAAAAAAAAGAAAGGAAGACACAAAGACAGAAGAGAAACAAAGAAAGAACUGGAUGGAUAACAAACUUUUAACCGUUAUUUGCCCUCGGAGGCAGGCUGAGAUGGGACCGUUGACUCCCUAUUUGUAUCUGAGAUUUCUCCAUCCACUCGCAGGAUGAAUACUACUGACUGAUAAGGGGGAAGCCAGCAUAGCACUUAACUGAGAUAAUUCUUUAAAACUGAGCCUGCUGUAUCUGUGUGAAGAUACGCCACUGCUUGACAUCUUAUUGAUUUGACUUAAAGGAUAAAGCACCUAAACACAACCACAUGCACACACACGCUGUAGAUAACCACCCAGCUUCAACUUUAAAACUCACUGACAGCUUAUUGAAACAUAGCCAGCAGUGUGGUAGAAAAUAAACAUGGACAUGGACAAAAUGUAAAAACUUUAGUAUGGUGUAAUAGUGUUUUUUUUUAAUUUGACAAACUAUGUCUGAAAUGGGAAUAGAGUGGGAACAAUUGGAGUACUUGUGUAAUUUGGGACACUGGGACGUCAGAUCAGAUGAUUCAUGCUCAUAAUUUUGUGAAUCAGAUGUUUUCUCAAGACCACCAGACCUUUUGCCCUCUGUACAGCUGCCUUUCCUCUCCUCUCCUUUCGUUUCCUCUCCUCUCCUCUCCUCUCCUCUCCUGGAGAAAUUCCGGUCAUGUGUGAGGCAUCCAGCUAGUGAGAACAGAGGCUCCACUUCAGUCUUUUUCUGACUGUACUGUAUGCCAGGUCAUAAGGACGAACAGUGCGUACCAGUGAGUGGGGAAAGCACUGAUAAACGGUACUGAGAAAUACGCUGCCUUAUUUAGAAUCACAGUUGGAAGAGGGUUUGAGUCACAAGGCAUCUGCAGCACAGUCUCUCCAAAGGAAAUUUAUUAGGGAGAAUGAAUCAGCAUUUAAGCACAAAUGUCAGGUGUUGGUGUUUAUGCUCCGGAGACUCUGUAUGAGAUAGAUGUAUUACCAUGAAUGGUCAAUUCUCUCUCGGAGUGAGACAUUUAGUCUCCAGGUGGUGGCAAUGAAUCAGCAUCCAGAACAGUGCUGUCACUUCCCAAAUGACUCUGAGAGACUUGAAACAUAAGUGUCAUGUUUUAGUUGAUUUUCGUUUUGAACAAUCUGCAAUAUAAUGAUGAAAUGAUUGAGAAUGAGUGGGGGUUUGGGCUUCAACAAACAAACAUAACUGAGCUGGUCUGCUUUAUUGCAUCUCACUAAUUCUCAUUCAGACUCAGUGGCUGUCUUCUUCUCUCCUGCUUACCUAAUUAUAAAUGGGCAUGCAACUGGAAAACAAGGUCACUCUCUGAGCCACAGGGUGUAGCAUAUUGCUACUAAUGAAAAGUUGGUGAUGAUUUGUUGCUGUCUACUCUGCCUUUGUAUAUAAAGACAGAAAUGUUGUGUAUUAAAUGUUCUUAUUUAGCAAGUGAA